UGGGGAAUAUUGGACAAUGGGCGAAAGCCUGAUCCAGCCAUGCCGCGUGUGUGAAGAAGGUCUUCGGAUUGUAAAGCACUUUAAGUUGGGAGGAAGGGCAUUAAUCUAAUACGUUAGUGUUUUGACGUUACCGACAGAAUAAGCACCGGCUAACUCUGUGCCAGCAGCCGCGGUAAUACAGAGGGUGCAAGCGUUAAUCGGAAUUACUGGGCGUAAAGCGCGCGUAGGUGGUUUGUUAAGUUGGAUGUGAAAUCCCCGGGCUCAACCUGGGAACUGCAUUCAAAACUGACUGACUAGAGUAUGGUAGAGGGUGGUGGAAUUUCCUGUGUAGCGGUGAAAUGCGUAGAUAUAGGAAGGAACACCAGUGGCGAAGGCGACCACCUGGACUAAUACUGACACUGAGGUGCGAAAGCGUGGGGAGCAAACA
rnacentral:rRNA from 1 species